rnacentral:rRNA from 1 species
CAGCAGCCACGGUAAUACGUAGGGUGCGAGCGUUAAUCGGAAUUACUGGGCGUAAAGCGUGCGCAGGCGGUUCGUUAAGACAGAUGUGAAAUCCCCGGGCUUAACCUGGGAACUGCAUUUGUGACUGGCGAGCUAGAGUAUGGCAGAGGGGGGUAGAAUUCCACGUGUAGCAGUGAAAUGCGUAGAGAUGUGGAGGAAUACCGAUGGCGAAGGCAGCCCCCUGGGCCAAUACUGACGCUCAUGCACGAAAGCGUGGGGAGCAAACAGGAUUAGAUACCCCCGUAGUCCCUGUCUCUUAUAU